rfam:Otolemur garnettii contig123983, whole genome shotgun sequence.
GCCUGAUGCGGUGGUGCAAGCCUAGUCCCAGCUACUGGGGAGGCUGAGACAGGAGGAUCACCUGAGUCCAGGAGUUCUGGGCUGUAGUGCACUAUGCCAAUUGGGUGUCUGCACUAAGUUCGGCAUCAUAUGGUGACCUCCCAGGAGCCAGGGGUUGGGGGCACCAGGUUGCCUAAGGAGGGGUGAACCAGCCCAGGUGGGAAACGGAGCAGGUCAAAACUCCCAUGCUGAUCAGUAGUGGGAUCGUGCCUAUGAAUAGCCACUACAGUCCAGCCUGGGCAGCAUAGUGAGACCCAGUCUCUU